rnacentral:rRNA from 1 species
AUGAUGGUAGGAGGUCACACCUUUGUUGAUGAGAGAGUGAUGUCUUUCCAUGAUGGAGUAGCCAUUGCUCUGAGAAUGUUGAGCUCCUGUGAGAUGCCGGAGAUUGUGGGAUCAUCAUUUGGUGUGGACGGGUCAACGGUUUCGCUGUUAACUCAAAGGUUUGUUAAGGCUAUGGAAGGACGAGCAAUGCACCACAUCAGGUUUCCUGGCUCCGCUCAAGUGGAGAAGACCAAGCGCAAGUUUCACAAGAUCCAUGGCCUCCCAAACUGCUGCGGUGUUGUACAUACAAGUCACAUCAAAUUUGGAUCAGAAAACAAUGAGAAUGAGGAAAAUGAUGGCAUGCUAAUGCAAGCCGUGAUUGAUCCAGAUAUGAGGUUGGCACUCAUUUUACUGCGAUCACAAGGAAGAAUGAACCAAUCAAGCAUGUUGAACAACUCUUAUAUCUUCGAGUACUGUGAGAAGGGUGCUUGGCUGAAUGGUAGCAAGCUGAAAGUAUCAUCAGGUGGAGGAUCGGAAGUCAAGGAAUACAUCAUUGGUGAUGCAGGGUACCCUCUUCGUCCUUGGCUCCUCACUCCUUACCAGUUGGAGAAUGGCCUCCCACUCUUAGGCGCCGAAGCUAUGUUCAAUAGGAGACAUUCUGCAGCUACAGCCGUCGCUGUGAGGGCGAUAGAAAGGUUAAAGGACACAUGGAAGUGCCUGCAGGGAGAAGGGUGGCAUCCAAAUAACCAACUUGAGGCAUACUGGACAGUCGACACGUGCUGCAUACUGCACAACAUAGUGAUAGACAUGGAGGAGGAUCAAGAGGAGGAGGAAGAGGAGGGGAAGAAUUACAGAAAGCAAGUGCGGUAG